rnacentral:misc_RNA from 1 species
UCCGGCUUACACCGGCGGUCUCUUGUGAGUGCCCACCAUUACGUGCUGGUAACACAAGACGAGGGUUGCGCUCGUUGGCGGACUUAACCGUACACCUCACGGCACGAGCUGACGACAGCCAUGCAACAUCUGUUUUCAGGUCUCCUUGUGAGAGAGGGACGUAUCUCUACGUCUUUCCUUCAAUGUCAAGAGUGGGUAAGGUUCUUCGGUUAGUAUCGAAUUAAUCCACAUGCUCCACCGCUUGUGCGGGUCCCCGUCAAUUCCUUUGAGUUUUAGCCUUGCGGCCGUACUCCCCAGGCGGGGCACUUAGUGCGUUAGCGACGGCACGGGAGGAGUCGACACCUCCCACACCUAGUGCCCAUCGUUUACGGCGUGGACUAC